GAAGGUUUAGUUAAAUCAUAACAUUGUCUUGUCAAGACAAAAUUACUAGUUAAACUCUUGUAUCCUUCU
rnacentral:tRNA from 1 species